GUGCAAAUCUGCCUUUGUGGCUCAACCUUAGCUUCUGUGUUACUCAUAUCCAGUAGCUUCUCUUUUGACAAUUUGCAAUGUGCACCCCUGCCAACCAUAAUGCAACCUUCUCUGCUUGUCUGCACUGUAUUCUGGUCUGUUCACUGACUGUCACAAGAUAUGAUGGCCCCAGCUUGUUCUCCUCUUUGGACUGCAGACUGGCUGCAGCACUGUAACAGACUUUAGGCUUUGUCUUUGGUUCAGAAAUGCAUUUGUUAGAGACUGCUGACUAGUUAAAUUCCAGUAGUCUCUGACUUCAGAAACUUCACUUGAGCUGGUCUGGUGACUCAUGUCUGAAAUCCUAGCACUCAGGAGGCUGAAGUAUUAGCAUUGUCAGUCUGCAGUCAACCUGAGCUACAUAGUGAAUUCCAGACCAGCUUGGGCUACAAAUCGACAUUGUGUCUCCAAAAAAGUGGGGGAUGGGGGUGGAGAGGAGGAAGAGACCUUUGUUAGGACUGCUACUCACACCUGUAUUGUGCCUUAUCCAUUUCUGAACUCCUCUGGGCUCUUUGUUGAUUUCUGAUACUUGAAUUUGGCACAGCUCUGCUUUGUGAGCACCUAUAAUUCUAGUUCUUACAUCCAUGUUACCCACGCCUGAUACCAUUAGCACUCUCGGGGAAGCCAAAAAAGAGCAGCUCUGAGAGCUCUGAGGUUCCAGUUGUUUCUCCCGUUAACAAGUUACAUCCUUUUCAGGAUCCUAGUUAAAGAGUAGGCCUGGGAAUUACCCCAUGGGCAUCUGAGUAUUAAUUGAGGUUCAUUCACACCUAAGAGGUUCAAGAAAAAGAAUGACUUGCUGCAAUGCAUAAGCAUGAAUUAGAUUAGAAGACCAGUUGGCUGGACAUUAGGAUUUCAGUCACCAGUUAAUACUAUGUGUAAAAGGAAAAAGAGACUCUUUUAGCUAAUCUUUUGUGAAAUGAUUCCAGACCCUCAUCUGAGACUCCUAAGACCCUAGACAUACACACCCUGUGAUCCAGACAGCUAAGAGAAGACAUAAAAGGUUAAGGUAGGAUUAGACCCUGAUUAGAAGAGAGAAAGGAUAGAUAAAAACCAGUACCUUAUGGUGAC
rnacentral:lncRNA from 1 species